AUGGGUCCGGCGCUGGCCAGGCGUGUAGCGCCUAUCUGUGAGACGUUGCACAGUGUAGUGUGGCGCCUUCGUGUCGGGCGUCACAUAAAAAGGUCAAAUUUGUCAAUUUUGCCAAGCCUUGCCUCCGUCAGGACUCAGGAUGAGCGGCGGCGCUCACCACGACUGACCGACUCUGUCUUCGGGCCGAAAUCCAGGCUCGUGAGUUUAUAUCAUGGAGGGGCACGCGUCGUUGAAAGUCCCACCAUCGAUCCCCUCCCGUUCCCGUCGCCGAGGAAAAGCACCAAGCACCAAACCCUAAUUGCCUUCCUUCCUCCCCCCGGCGGCCCGGCUGCCAUGUCAUCUCCUCCUUCCCGGCGUGGUAUCUUGACCACAAUCCCGGUCUCCGACGAUGGGACCUUCGGCUACUCCGUCCCGCCCCCGGCCCAUUGCUCCAGUGCAGCAGCUACACUGCUCCCGUUUUGGGGUACAGAGCACAAGCCUGCUCCAUUGGUACUGCAGCAAGGACAAACCAUUCGUGAAUCCAUUGCCCGCUCCUUGAAGAAAGAGCAAGAGAGCAAGUUUUCGAAUUUGUCCGUGCUUCCCAGUUGCCUCCCAGGGGCGCAAAAUUUUUCGUCUCUUGGGCUGCCUAUUCUGUACCAGCAACCAGAUCACUGGGGAAUUAGAUUUUACACCAGAAUUGAUCUCAAGGGAUCUUUCCACACAUACCCUCAUGUGGGUGGACCAUUUGAGAGCUUAACUGAAGUUAACGAUGCUAUUGAGCUCUACCUGAGGGGCCGCCAGGAGGAGCAAAUGUUUGUGGGAUUAUCUGGAGUGGAGCUUGCUGUACAAAAGUGCCUUUACUGGCCUGAUGGCAGAAGGAAAAAGCAUUUGGCGUCCCAACCAAUUGAUACUACCCGUGAUUUUAACCGCCAGCUGGUUGAAGCUCUGGUGGACAAGUAUAAUGAGGAUCACAACCUUUUGGGGGAUCUUGCAUAUGAAUUCAAAGAUAUUAUGUGCUGCCAAUCAAUUAGAGAUAUCAUGUAUAAUCAAUCAUCCAGUGAAUUGUUUGUCAUCUGUUUAUGUGUGCUGGAUCCUACUGCUAAUGGUUACUGUUAUGGUUGUCACUGUAAUGGAAGUCCUGACAUGAAGCACCCAAGUUCUGGUUACAUAGCUGGCCACACAAGUAACGUGUCUGGUAGAUCUUCUAAGAUAAACUGCGGAAAGUUUGAUGAUGAGGACAAUGAGGACGAGCUGGAAGCUCAGAAGGCUAGGUUACGAUGGUUGUUUGGGGGCUCUGAGCUGAAGCAAAUCAGGGACCCACAUGGGGCAGAGCAAUGGAGAAGAACAGCUGAGCCAGCAUUGCAGAUCCAAGAUAAAUGUGAUGAGGACAACAAGAACGAGCUGGAAGCUCAAAAGGAUAGGUUGCAGUGGAUGUUCGGGUUAAGAGUAUCUAUAACCGGACCCCAUAUUUUUCCCAAACGCCCGGACGGGCUGGACGCAAAAUGCCAGGGAGGCAAGCGGAAGCGAGGGGCAGCGGCGCCGUGA
rnacentral:rRNA from 1 species